rnacentral:rRNA from 1 species
UACGUAGGGUGCAAGCGUUGUCCGGAAUUAUUGGGCGUAAAGAGCUCGUAGGCGGUUUGUCGCGUCGAAUGUGAAAACCCGGGGCUCAACCCCGGGCCUGCAUUCGAUACGGGCAGACUAGAGUUCGGUAGGGGAGUCUGGAAUUCCUGGUGUAGCGGUGAAAUGCGCAGAUAUCAGGAGGAACACCGGUGGCGAAGGCGGGUCUCUGGGCCGAUACUGACGCUGAGGCGCGAAGGCGUGGGGAGCGAACGGG